AUUGAACGCUGGCGGCAGGCUUAACACAUGCAAGUCGAGCGGGGGAAGGUAGCUUGCUACUGGACCUAGCGGCGGACGGGUGAGUAAUGCUUAGGAAUCUGCCUAUUAGUGGGGGACAACAUCUCGAAAGGGAUGCUAAUACCGCAUACGUCCUACGGGAGAAAGCAGGGGGUCUUCGGACCUUGCGCUAAUAGAUGAGCCUAAGUCGGAUUAGCUAGUUGGUGGGUAAAGGCCUACCAAGGCGACGAUCUGUAGCGGGUCUGAGAGGAUGAUCCGCCACACUGGGACUGAGACACGGCCCAGACUCCUACGGGAGGCAGCAGUGGGGAAUAUUGGACAAUGGGGGGAACCCUGAUCCAGCCAUGCCGCGUGUGUGAAGAAGGCCUUAUGGUUGUAAAGCACUUUAAGCGAGGAGGAGGCUACUCUAGUUAAUACCUAGGGAUAGUGGACGUUACUCGCAGAAUAAGCACCGGCUAACUCUGUGCCAGCAGCCGCAGUAA
rnacentral:rRNA from 1 species